rnacentral:rRNA from 1 species
UGGGGAAUAUUGGACAAUGGGCGAAAGCCUGAUCCAGCCAUGCCGCGUGUGUGAAGAAGGUCUUCGGAUUGUAAAGCACUUUAAGUUGGGAGGAAGGGCUUUAACCUAAUACGUUAGUGUUUUGACGUUACCGACAGAAUAAGCACCGGCUAACUCUGUGCCAGCAGCCGCGGUAAUACAGAGGGUGCAAGCGUUAAUCGGAAUUACUGGGCGUAAAGCGCGCGUAGGUGGUUUGUUAAGUUGGAUGUGAAAUCCCCGGGCUCAACCUGGGAACUGCAUUCAAAACUGACUGACUAGAGUAUGGUAGAGGGUGGUGGAAUUUCCUGUGUAGCGGUGAAAUGCGUAGAUAUAGGAAGGAACACCAGUGGCGAAGGCGACCACCUGGACUAAUACUGACACUGAGGUGCGAAAGCGUGGGGAGCAAACA